rnacentral:tRNA from 1 species
GCACACAUAGUUUAAGGGUAAAACAAAUUGAUGAUGGUUCAAAUCCAUCUGUGUGCA